AUUGAACGCUGGCGGCAGGCCUAACACAUGCAAGUCGAACGAGUGGCGGACGGGUGAGUAAUGUCUGGGAAACUGCCUGAUGGAGGGGGCUAACUACUGGACACGGUAGCUACUACCGCAUACCAUCAGAUGUGCCCAGAUGGGAUUAGCUAGUUGGUGGGGUAACGGCUCACCAAGGCGACGAUCCCUAGCUGGUCUGAGAGGAUGACCAGCCAAACUUGAACUGAGACACGGUCCAGACUCCGACGGGAGGCAGCAGUGGGGAAUAUUGCACAAUGGGCGCAAGCCUGAUGCAGCCAUGCCGCGUGUAUGAAGAAGGCCUUCGGAUUGUAAAGUACUUUCAGCGGGGAGGCGUUACCAGCAGAAUAAGCACCGGCUAACUCCGUGCCAGCAGCCGCGGUAAUUC
rnacentral:rRNA from 1 species